UGGGGAAUAUUGGACAAUGGGCGCAAGCCUGAUCCAGCCAUGCCGCGUGAGUGAUGAAGGCCCUAGGGUUGUAAAGCUCUUUCGCCAGGGACGAUAAUGACGGUACCUGGAUAAGAAGCCCCGGCUAACUUCGUGCCAGCAGCCGCGGUAAUACGAAGGGGGCUAGCGUUGUUCGGAAUCACUGGGCGUAAAGCGCACGUAGGCGGAUCUUUAAGUCAGGGGUGAAAUCCCGAGGCUCAACCUCGGAACUGCCUUUGAUACUGGAGGUCUCGAGUCCGGGAGAGGUGAGUGGAACUGCGAGUGUAGAGGUGAAAUUCGUAGAUAUUCGCAAGAACACCAGUGGCGAAGGCGGCUCACUGGCCCGGUACUGACGCUGAGGUGCGAAAAGCGUGGGGAGCAAAACAGGAUUAGAUACCCUGGUAGUCCACGCCGUAAACUAUGGAUGCUAGCCGUUGGGCAGCUUGCUGUUCAGUGGCGCAGCUAACGCUUUAAGCAUCCCGCCUGGGGGAGUACGGUCGCAAGAUUAAAACUCAAAGGAAUUGACGGGGUCAUAGCUGUUUCCU
rnacentral:rRNA from 1 species